rnacentral:rRNA from 1 species
UACGUAGGGUGCAAGCGUCAAUCGGAAUUACUGGGCGUAAAGCGUGCGCAGGCGGUUAUGCAAGACAGAUGUGAAAUCCCCGGGCUUAACCUGGGAACCGCAUUUGUGACUGCAUAGCUGGAGUACGGCAGAGGGGGAUGGAAUUCCGCGUGUAGCAGUGAAAUGCGUAGAUAUGCGGAGGAACACCGAUGGCGAAGGCAGUCCCCUGGGCCUGUACUGACGCUCAUGCACGAAAGCGUGGGGAGCAAACAGG